GGAGGGUGCAAGCACUAAUCGGAUUUAUUGGGCGUAAAGGGCGCGUAGGCGGAUUUGUAAGUCAGAUGUGAAAUUUCGGAGCUCAACUUCGGAGCUGCAAGUGAAACUACAGAUCUAGAGGAGUGGCGGAGAAAAUGGAAUUCCACGUGUAGCGGUGAAAUGCGUAGAUAUGUGGAAGAACACCAGUGGCGAAAGCGGUUUUCUAGCUUAUUCCUGACGCUGAGGCGCGAGAGCAAGGGGAGCAAACAGGAUUAGAUACCCUGGUAGUCUUGGCUGUAAACGGUGCGUAUUUGCUGUAAACGGAAUCGACCCCGUUUGUGGCGUAGCUAACGCGAUAAAUACGCCGCCUGGGAAGUACGGUCGCAAGAUUA
rnacentral:rRNA from 1 species